rnacentral:tRNA from 1 species
ACUCGAGUGGCUCCAAUAGGUAAGAGCGUUCAGCUGUUAACUGAAAGGUACAUGGAUCAAUACCAUGCUUGAGCG